AUUGAACGCUGGCGGUAGGCCUAACACAUGCAAGUCGAGCGAGCGGCGGACGGGUGAGUAAUGUAUGGGGACUGCCCGAUAGAGGGGGAUAACUACUGGAAACGGUGGCUAAUAACGCAGACUAUCGGAUAACCCAUAUGGGAUUAGCUAGUAGGGGGGGUAAAGGCUAACCUAGGCGACGAUCCUUAGCUGGUCGGAGGGGAUGAAAGGCCACACUGGGACGGAGACACGGCCCAGACUCGUACGGGGGCAGCAGUGGGGAAUAUUGCACAAUGGGCGAAAGCCUGAUGCAGCCAUGCCGCGUGUAUGAAGAAGGCCUUAUGGUUGUAAAGUACUUUCAGCGGGUAGGCGUUACCCGCAGAAGAAGCACCGGCUAACUCCGUGCCAGCAGCCGCGGUAAUAC
rnacentral:rRNA from 1 species